GGGGGUAUAGCUCAGUGAUAGAGCGUGUGCUUGGUGUGCACGAGAUCCUGGGUUCAAUCCCCAGUGCCCCCC
rfam:Camelus ferus unplaced genomic scaffold scaffold949, whole genome shotgun sequence.